GAACUGGAUUGGGGUAUUUACUGAGCUUGGUGGGGUAAUAAAACCCACAAAGGCAGUGUCAAUGUUCCAAGUUCUGGCAAGUCGAAAGGGUGCAAUUUUAAGGGACAACGUAGAAGUGAAUAGCAUAAUUAAGGAUGGGGAGAAAGGCGGGAUAUGGGUUUCUGCUGCUAAUGGUGAAAAGUUUUGGGCUAAAAAAUGCAUCAUUACAGCAGGGGCUUGGGCGAGAAAGCUUGUUAAAAGCGUCAGCGGCCUUGAAUUGCCGAUACAAGCAUUGGAGACUACAUUGUGUUAUUGGAGAAUUAAGGAAGGCCAUGAAUCUGAGUUUGCUAUAGGAAGUGAUUUUCCAAGUUUUUCUAGCUGCGGCAAACAACAUGUAUACGGCACGCCGUCCUUGGAGUUCCCCGGUUUAAUUAAGGUUGCCUCGCACGAUGGCUACCCUUGUGAUCCUGACAAAAGACCAUGGGGACCUGCCAAGUCGUUGAGUUAUUUGAAAGAAUGGAUUGAGAAGAUAUUUUCAGGGCUUGUUGAUCAUGAAAGGCCAGUUGCUAGUCAAUCGUGCUUGUACUCCAUGACCCCAGAUGAAGACUAUGUGAUAGAUUUUCUGGGUGGGGAGUUUGGGAAGGAUGUGGUUAUCGGCGCUGGCUUUUCAGGUCAUGGGUUCAAGAUGGCUCCAUUGGUGGGAAGGAUUUUAGCGGACAUGGCUCUUUGUGGGGAGGCUAAAGGAGUGAAUCUCAAGCACUUCAGGAUACAAAGAUUUCAAGAGAAUCCUAAAGGGAAUGUCAAGGACUUCUGAACAUCGAAUUGGCUUUUCUUCCAAUCACAAGUAGGUAAUGUAGCAAAAUAGGACUUCUAUUGCCAUUGGUACCUAUGGUCCAUGUCCUCUAUCCCAUCAGGAUUCUAGCUAUGAAAUAAAUUAUUUAUUUUAUUACAAAUG
rnacentral:misc_RNA from 1 species